rnacentral:rRNA from 1 species
GCAAGUCGAAGGUAACAGGGAAGCUUGCUUCCGUUGACGACCGGCGCACGGGUGCGUAACACGUAUGUAACCUACCUUUUACUGGGGGAUAGCCUUUAGAAAUCAAGAUUAAUACCCCAUAUAUGUUACUUUCGCAUGUCUGAUGAAUUAAAGUUCCGGUGGUUAAAGAUGAGUAUGCGCUAAUUAGCUAGUUGGUGAGGUAACGGCUCACCAAGGCCGCGAUGUAUAGGGGUCCUGAGAGGGAGAUC